rnacentral:rRNA from 1 species
AUUGAACGCUGGCGGCAGGCCUAACACAUGCAAGUCGAGCGGAUGAAGGGAGCUUGCUCCUGGAUUCAGCGGCGGACGGGUGAGUAAUGCCUAGGAAUCUGCCUGGUAGUGGGGGAUAACGUCCGGAAACGGGCGCUAAUACCGCAUACGUCCUGAGGGAGAAAGUGGGGGAUCUUCGGACCUCACGCUAUCAGAUGAGCCUAGGUCGGAUUAGCUAGUUGGUGGGGUAAAGGCCUACCAAGGCGACGAUCCGUAACUGGUCUGAGAGGAUGAUCAGUCACACUGGAACUGAGACACGGUCCAGACUCCUACGGGAGGCAGCAGUGGGGAAUAUUGGACAAUGGGCGAAAGCCUGAUCCAGCCAUGCCACGUGUGUGAAGAAGGUCUUCGGAUUGUAAAGCACCUUAAGUUGGGAGGAAGGGCAGUAAGUUAAUACCUUGCUGUUUUGACGUUACCAACAGAAUAAGCACCGGCUAACUUCGUG